UAUUUUCAGAGUUUUGUUUGUGUUAGAAUGCCUUUUUGUAGUAGUGUUUCUUUGUUUUUGUGUAGAAAAAUUGGUAACAUAGGUUGUGGUGUUUGUGGGUGGUAAGUGUGGGGUGUUGUUCCACUUGAUUUGUAAUUUUGGUGAGAUUGUGUGGUGAGUUGAUGUUAUAAAUUGCUUAAAAGGGAUUGUGGAUACCUAAUGCCCCCAAGGUGUUUG
rnacentral:lncRNA from 1 species